rnacentral:rRNA from 1 species
CCUACGGGAGGCAGCAGUGAGGAAUAUUGGUCAAUGGACGAGAGUCUGAACCAGCCAAUUAGCGUGAAGGAUGACUGCCCUAUGGGUUGUAAACUUCUUUUAUAUGGGAAUAAAAUGUUCCACGUGUGGGAUUUUGUAUGUACCAUAUGAAUAAGGAUUGGCUAACUCCGUGCCAGCAGCCGCGGUAAUACGGAGGAUCCGAGCGUUAUCCGGAUUUAUUGGGUUUAAAGGGAGCGUAGGUGGAUUGUUAAGUCAGUUGUGAAAGUUUGCGGCUCAACCGUAAAAUUGCAGUUGAAACUGGCAGGCUUGAGUACAGUAGAGGUGGGCGGAAUUCGUGGUGUAGCGGUGAAAUGCUUAGAUAUCACGAAGAACUCCGAUUGCGAAGGCAGCUCACUGGACUGCAACUGACACUGAGGCUCGAAAGUGUGGGUAUCAAACAGGAUUAGAUACCCCAGUAGUC